rnacentral:piRNA from 1 species
UAGAAAUUUUUUUAUUUCAUCUACAAUGUU